UAAGGAAUAUUGGUCAAUGGACGCAAGUCUGAACCAGCCAUGCCGCGUGGAGGAUUAAGGCCCUCUGGGUUGUAAACUCCUUUUAUCUGGGAAGAAAUGUACUUUUUCUUGAGUACUUGACGGUACCAGAGGAAUAAGCACCGGCUAACUCCGUGCCAGCAGCCGCGGUAAUACGGAGGGUGCAAGCGUUAUCCGGAUUCACUGGGUUUAAAGGGUGCGUAGGUGGGCAGGUAAGUCAGUGGUGAAAUCUCCGGGCUUAACCCGGAAACUGCCGUUGAUACUAUUUGUCUUGGAUAUUGUGGAGGUAAGCGGAAUAUGUCAUGUAGCGGUGAAAUGCUUAGAUAUGACAUAGAACACCAAUUACGAAGGCAGCUUACUACACAAUCAUUGACGCUGAGGCACGAAAGCGUGGGGAUCAAACA
rnacentral:rRNA from 1 species